ncrna:unclassified sequences PhotoRC-II RNA
UUACUGUUCGUAACACCCCUUCAACCAAGACCUAUAGGGUGUCUAAAAACGUCUUUCAUACCUGUGUCUAAGGGUGAUACAGGAAUAGUAAAACCA